rnacentral:rRNA from 1 species
CCUACGGGUGAGCUGCAGUGGGGGAUAUUGCACAAUGGGGGAAACCCUGAUGCAGCGACGCCGCGUGAGUGAAGAAGUAUUUCGGUAUGUAAAGCUCUAUCAGCUGGGAAGAAAAUGACAGUACCUGACCAAGAAGCCCCGGCUAAAUACGUGCCAGCAGCCGCGGUAAUACGUAGGGGGCACGCGUUAUCCGGAUUGACUGGGGGUAAAGGGAGGGUAGACGGGUAUGUAAGUCUGGAGUGAAAGCCCGGGGCCCAACCCCGGGACUGCGUUGGAAACGGUGUAACUGGAGUACAGGAAGGGCAGGCGGAAUUCAUGGUGUAGCGGUGAAAUGCGUAGAUAUCAGGAGGAACACCGGCGGCGAAGGCGGCCUGCUGGACUGAAACUGACGUUGAGGCUCGAAAGCGUGGGGAGCAAACAGGAUUAGAUACCCGAGUAGUC